AACAAGAUGGAAAUAAACAGUGACUUUUACCAUUCAUCUAACCAUUUGCACAUAGAGAGAGAAGCCAGAAAUCUGACUGGUAAGAAAUUCUUAUCCUUUUGCCAGCAUGCCAGGCUUCUGGGUUCCCUUUCCCUGAGCGGCCCUAGUGACUCAGCUUGCUGCACCAUCGUGCUGGGGCCAAGUCGCAUCAUAAAGGAAAAUUACCUUUUUUCAUUCAGGCCAGAAUAAAAUAUGUGUGACAAAACAUAGAUCAUCGUAAAUCCAACCUCUGACCAGGAGUUUCAACAUGUGGUCUCUGGGCAAGAUAGUCACCCUGAGUUAAUUUUCAGUUUAUGCACACAAAGCAGUGUGCAGUUGCAUCAUCUCCUUGUCCUCCAGUGAUAAACCUAUGUGACAUUUUAUAAAAAUA
rnacentral:lncRNA from 1 species